rnacentral:rRNA from 1 species
GACGAACGCUGGCGGCGUGCUUAACACAUGCAAGUCGAACGGAAAGGCCCUGCUUUUGUGGGGUGCUCGAGUGGCGAACGGGUGAGUAACACGUGAGUAACCUGCCCUUGACUUUGGGAUAACUUCAGGAAACUGGGGCUAAUACCGGAUAGGAGCUCCUGCUGCAUGGUGGGGGUUGGAAAGUUUCGGCGGUUGGGGAUGGACUCGCGGCUUAUCAGCUUGUUGGUGGGGUAGUGGCUUACCAAGGCUUUGACGGGUAGCCGGCCUGAGAGGGUGACCGGCCACAUUGGGACUGAGAUACGGCCCAGACUCCUACGGGAGGCAGCAGUGGGGAUUAUUGCACAAUGGGCGGAAGCCUGAUGCAGCAACGCCGCGUGCGGGAUGACGGCCUUCGGGUUGUAAACCGCUUUCGCGUGUGACGAAGCGUGAGUGACGGUAAUGGGUAAAGAAGCACCGGCUAACUACGUG